CCUACGGGUGACAGCAGUGAGGAAUAUUGGUCAAUGGGCUUACGCCUGAACCAGCCAAGUCGCGUGAGGGAAGACUGCCCUAUGGGUUGUAAACCUCUUUUGUCAGGGAGCAACGCCGGCUACGUGUAGCCGGACUGAGAGUACCUGAAGAAAAAGCAUCGGCUAACUCCGUGCCAGCAGCCGCGGUAAUACGGAGGAUGCGAGCGUUAUCCGGAUUUAUUGGGUUUAAAGGGUGCGUAGGCGGAAUGCCAAGUCAGCGGUAAAAUCGCGGGGCUCAACCUCGCUCCGCCGUUGAAACUGGCGGUCUUGAGUGGGCGAGAAGUAUGCGGAAGGCGUGGUGUAGCGGUGAAAUGCAUAGAUAUCACGCAGAACUCCGAUUGCGAAGGCAGCAUACCGGCGCCCAACUGACGCUGAAGCACGAAAGCGUGGGUAUCGAACAGGAUUAGAUACCCCAGUAGUC
rnacentral:rRNA from 1 species